UCUUCCUUUUCCUUUACUUUAGUUUUUUUUUUCCUGCUGGUUUUUGAUGUCAGAGUAUUUAUAGAUUUUCACUGUAUGUCUCACAUACCAUUUACACACCUUCACAAACCGCUUAGGUACUUUCUCAUGCCAUAUAUGUACCAUCACAGUACAGUUUAUAUACCUUCUUAAGAGUUCAGAGGUAAAGCUCUAAGUUUUUGAUGUUAUUUAUUUUUGUAAGACUUGCUUUGAAAUUUGCAUGAGGAAGGGAAGGCUAACAUUUUUUUCUCAUUAAUAUUUAAUGAGUACUCUGAAUACUUGAUGGCUCAGUAGGAAGACCAGAUGGCAAGUCUUCCCUUCAUUUAGAACAAAUUCACUGAUAAGAGCUGCUUUGUCUGUUAAAAUAAGAUAACAGCACUCUUGGGAUUAAAAAAAAAAAACAAAAAAAAA